GGGGAAUCUUCCGCAAUGGACGAAAGUCUGACGGAGCAACGCCGCGUGAGUGAUGACGGCCUUCGGGUUGUAAAGCUCUGUUAAUCGGGACGAAUGGUUCUUGUGCGAAUAGUGCGAGGAUUUGACGGUACCGGAAUAGAAAGCCACGGCUAACUACGUGCCAGCAGCCGCGGUAAUACGUAGGUGGCAAGCGUUGUCCGGAAUUAUUGGGCGUAAAGCGCGCGCAGGCGGAUUGGUCAGUCUGUCUUAAAAGUUCGGGGCUUAACCCCGUGAUGGGAUGGAAACUGCCAAUCUGGAGUAUCGGAGAGGAAAGUGGAAUUCCUAGUGUAGCGGUGAAAUGCGUAGAUAUUAGGAAGAACACCAGUGGCGAAGGCGACUUUCUGGACGAAAACUGACGCUGAGGCGCGAAAGCCAGGGGAGCGAACGGGAUUAGAUACCCCGGUAGUCCUGGCCGUAAACGAUGGGUACUAGGUGUAGGAGGUAUCGACCCCUUCUGUGCCGGAGUUAACGCAAUAAGUACCCCGCCUGGGGAGUACGACCGCAAGGUUG
rnacentral:rRNA from 1 species